rnacentral:rRNA from 1 species
UGCAGUCGAGCGAACUGAUUAGAAGCUUGCUUCUAUGACGUUAGCGGCGGACGGGUGAGUAACACGUGGGCAACCUGCCUGUAAGACUGGGAUAACUUCGGGAAACCGAAGCUAAUACCGGAUAGGAUCUUCUCCUUCAUGGGAGAUGAUUGAAAGAUGGUUUCGGCUAUCACUUACAGAUGGGCCCGCGGUGCAUUAGCUAGUUGGUGAGGUAACGGCUCACCAAGGCAACGAUGCAUAGCCGACCUGAGAGGGUGAUCGGCCACACUGGGACUGAGACACGGCCCAGACUCCUACGGGAGGCAGCAGUAGGGAAUCUUCCGCAAUGGACGAAAGUCUGACGGAGCAACGCCGCGUGAGUGAUGAAGGCUUUCGGGUCGUAAAACUCUGUUGUUAGGGAAGAACAAGUACGAGAGUAACUGCUCGUACCUUGACGGUACCUAACCAGAAAGCCACGGCUAACUACGUGCCAGCAGCCGCGGUAAUACGUAGGUGGCAAGCGUUAUCCGGAAUUAUUGGGCGUAAAGCGCGCGCAGGCGGUUUCUUAAGUCUGAUGUGAAAGCCCACGGCUCAACCGUGGAGGGUCAUUGGAAACUGGGGAACUUGAGUGCAGAAGAGAAAAGCGGAAUUCCACGUGUAGCGGUGAAAUGCGUAGAGAUGUGGAGGAACACCAGUGGC